UGCGCCCUCAACUUCAAUACUUCGAUCAGAAGUUGACCGUGACUCUUCACAUUACCUCUAAAAAAACAAUAGUCUUUUUAAAGACUCCAUCUCCACCUUCCCUCCACCUUUCCUUGUGGUGUGGCAGGUUUUGCCAUUGAAAAAAAAGAAAAUCUCCAUCCUGCCUUCCUUUGUGGUGCUGCAGACUUUUCAGGCUUGUUCCAGACCAGCCCUGUCAGAGUGGUGUCUGUGUGUCACAUGUGACACUGUGCCUGUCUUUGUCUGCACACCCUGCACUGCACUCAUAUACAACAGAACCCACUUACGCCUACCUGCAAACAUAUAACGACAAGUGACACUUUUUGACAACAUACUUGACUGCACAUACUAAACUCUUUACAUAUAACUGUGUCCCCUCAGACAACUUCUUUGAGACUUUGAAA